AUUGAACGCUGGCGGCAUGCUUUACACAUGCAAGUCGAACGGCAGCACGGACUUCGGUCUGGUGGCGAGUGGCGAACGGGUGAGUAAUACAUCGGAACGUGCCCAGUUGUGGGGGAUAACUACUCGAAAGAGUAGCUAAUACCGCAUGAGAACUGAGGUUGAAAGCAGGGGAUCGUAAGACCUUGCGCAACUGGAGCGGCCGAUAGCAGAUUAGGUAGUUGGUGGGAUAAAGGCUUACCAAGCCGACGAUCUGUAGCUGGUCUGAGAGGACGACCAGCCACACUGGGACUGAGACACGGCCCAGACUCCUACGGGAGGCAGCAGUGGGGAAUUUUGGACAAUGGGCGAAAGCCUGAUCCAGCAAUGCCGCGUGCAGGAUGAAGGCCUUCGGGUUGUAAACUGCUUUUGUACGGAACGAAAAGCUUCGGGCUAAUACCCUGGAGUCAUGACGGUACCGUAAGAAUAAGCACCGGCUAACUACGUGCCAGCAGCCGCAGUAAAAC
rnacentral:rRNA from 1 species